rnacentral:lncRNA from 1 species
GGGAGACAGAGAGAGGAACUGAAAGCAAGAUCAGAACGCUUGAAGAGAAGAGGCAGGCAGACACGAGGAUAAGAAACGGGAAGAGGAAAAGAGCGUAACAGUCAAAGCUUGAGCAGCAGCUGGAGCCUGGAAAAGCAGGAAGGAGACACAGGGCCUGGGGCCAGAGAGGGAGAGGAGGAGGGAGAUGCUGGGGAAGAGCAGAGACAGAUGCAGAAAAGGAGGAGGACACGGGUGAAUCCACGCAAACCGGAGGGAGAGAAUGAAAGCACGGGGAUGCAGAGUGAGGCGACCCCCCAGUUCCCAGAGUCCUGCGGUCCCCACCUGCGCACAACCAGCCCAGAAUGGGCCCUAUAAAAACUGAGAACACACCUUCCUUCUGGAUAAGGAGACCUGUCCUUUUGUGGCCUGCCUUUCAGCCUGCCUCGUCUCUAUGCUCUGCAUCUCCAGACCCUCCAGCCAAGAUCUGUCGUCAGAUGAGGCCUCCAAGUCGGGUCCGGGAAGCCCGGCCUUGGGGUUGUAAUCCAGGGGCUCCAACCACUGCUGUCUGCUCCCCUCUUGGGAAAGUGUCCUCCAGAAAGUCUAUGAGGCUGACCUCCUCCUGUGUUAAGCUUUCUCAUCUUUCUGAGACAUUCCUGUACUCAAGAGAAGGAAUGCAUUGGUGGGACAGGAAAGACAUCCAAACAGCACCCUGCUCUGCUGCUCCGUAACCUGUGCUGUCUGGGAGAGGCUGGAGACCAAGGAGAUUCAGGACAAGCCCUUCCUCCACACCGCUUGUCACCUUCGUCUCCCGUGUUAAUAACGCUGCUCACAGGCCAGCGCUUUGGGGGAAACAAGACAUCACUGCUGGGUCUCAAGUCCACUCUCCCAGCCCAGAGUGUUCCUAGGCAGGGGCGGCAUCAGAACUACCUGUUGGGUCUCCAGGACACUUCCCAGCCCGUCCUUGCACUCCGGCAUACCUGCCAGUCCCUGCCUAAAAGCCUCCCACAUUGAUUUUAAAUGCAGCUAAAUCUUCUAAAGUGGGCAAUUUUCCGCAAAGGUCACUGCUAUUCUCAGAGUGGUCUGCACUGCCUGGUGACCCCAGGAAGGCAUUGGAGGUGGUCCCAGAGGGGUGGAGAGGGGAGGGGGAAGGCAGGAGGAGAAAGGCAUUCUAGCCUCUAGACCCAACUCCCCCGCAGCCCCUGCACACGCCCACCUGAGCCUCCCUUGUUCCCCUGCAUCAAAUGCACACUUCACACACAAAGCCGUGGCUCGUCAGAGUCGGGAAGAACCUCAGAGGCCACGCAAAACCCUCCUUUUACAGACAAGAAAACUGAAGCCCAGGGAGGUGACAUAACUUGUCUGAGGAUGCAUCGACAGUCAGGGCCAGAGCUGGGGCCCGAACCUCCUCAUGCCCAUCCCACUGUUUUUUAGAUGUUUACUUCCAAAAUACAGCAAGACUCUCCCUGGAGUCCUGAAAGGUGAUUAUUUAUAAAUACUCAGCCUCUGUGUCCAGAUUAUUACCUCUGCUUGGAAUACCCUCUCCCCUACUCUCUUUCAAACAUUUCUCUCUGGAAGACUUCUAUUCAUACUCCACCUUGCAGGACAAUUGGCUCUGUCCAAAAUGUCCCAAAUGCUAAAGACCUUUUGAUGUGGACCAAAUGUCUUAUGGAUGUUUUGGACAGGAUCAAAUGUCUGCUAAUCCCACUCUGAAGCCCAGUUGAAAUGUCACCUGCUCCUUGAAUCCUCUCUCCACCCCCAUCCAACCUCUACAGAUUGACUCGCUCCCUUCUUGGGUCUCCAUGGCACUUGCUGUGACUCUGUUGAGCACAUAACAACUGGAGUUGACUAUUUCCCUGUCUGCUUCUUUCCCUGGGCCACGGGCUCCUUCUGGGGAUGGGCGGUAUCACAGCAGAGUCUAGCACAGUGUCUGGCCCAAUUGACAUGACUAACUGAAUAUCAGUUGUCCAUGUCAGUGGAGGGGAAGGAUGGUUUGAGGAUGGUCCUCAAGACUCGAGGUCAGCUUUCUAGAAAUAUGACUCAGGCUGCAGGUAGUGACCCUGUGUAUUGCUUUCUCUCCAGAUAUAUUUGUAGCUAUGAGGACACCCCAAGCCUCACUGCUACAACCAGGGCAGCACGGAUCCAGGGAAAGGGCCCCUGCUUCAUCCUCCCCUGUUGGGAUGGGGUUGAGGCAGAAGUGGCCCAUGGCCUGAGCUCCAGGACACUGGUCUGGCCUCGCCGUUCCUAGGAGAUGAGCAAGACUAUUCUCCUCGCCUCUCCUUCCCCUGGGUGGGUCACUGAUGACAUACACACCCCGAGCAGCUGUUGGUAAGGCCCGUCCCUUUUGACCACAGGUGCUGCCCAGCUCAGUCCUGAAACAAGAACCCUGGUGGAACAUCAGGUUUAGGAGUGGGAUUCAGGAUCAAUUUUGAGUAAGGUUUGAGAGAUUAGACUUGGGAGACGGCCUCCCAGCCCUCACGAGGAGUUCCCAGCCUCGUGGAGGAGAAACGGUCCCUGCGCUCAGGGAGCUCCCAGUGGGACCAGGAGACAGAAGGAACAUGUGCACAGCGACAUCGGGGCCCACUGGACCCAUAGGACUGAUCUGUGGCUGGAGAGGGUGAGCAGGGGAAGGGUGCCUCCGGAGGAAAAGCGGGGAUGUGUGGAGAGAGGAUGGGGCUGGGGAUUCCCUGGCCUGCCUGCUCACCCUGUGGUGAGCCCAGUGAUGUGAAUUCUCUCUCUAGAAUUUCCUGGUGGCACUCAGUUAUAUUGCUCUGUGUGUGUCUGUAUGUCUGUGUGUGUGUGUGUGUGUGUGUGUGUGUUUCUGUUCGGAAGAACAGGGAGAAGUGGGAUGGAAAAGGGACAGGACAUUCAGAGAUGAGCGGCUAAUUUCCUGUUAAUGGCUGGUUGCUUGGCAACCCAGCUUCUUUCUGCCUGUUGCCCUCAAAAUCGGACUGCGGAAUUUUUAAUGUUAAAGCGCCUCCCUUGGGAACUCAGUUCUGUGAGAGGCUGGCCCAUCACUGCUGGCCCUGCCCUGCUCCACCCUGCUGGGUGACAGGGGACACAAAGUGAUAGUACACAAAGACUCGAAGCCACCAAUCCACACAGCCUGCCCGAGUGUCUCAUUCUGUCUUUCCUGCCAUCUCCUCCAUGAACAAUCGUGUACUCAUGCACACACACGUUUAUGUAGCACGUGUGCACACACACAAAAAUGCACUAGUCUGUGACUCACACGUAUAUAAUAAUAAUAAACUGCUACUCUAUUUGAGUUCCUACCA